AGCACAAAUGAUGAGUAUUGGGACUUAAUACUGAGUUUGUGAUGUCUCAAUGUGAGCUGAAGUGU